rnacentral:rRNA from 1 species
UACGUAGGUGGCAAGCGUUGUCCGGAUUUACUGGGUGUAAAGGGCGUGUAGGCGGAGAUGCAAGUCAGGAGUGAAAUCUAGGGGCUCAACCCCUAAACUGCUUUUGAAACUGUAUCCCUUGAGUAUCGGAGAGGCAGGCGGAAUUCCUAGUGUAGCGGUGAAAUGCGUAGAUAUUAGGAGGAACACCAGUGGCGAAGGCGGCCUGCUGGACGACAACUGACGCUGAGGCGCGAAAGCGUGGGGAGCAAAC